rnacentral:rRNA from 1 species
AACGGUCGUACCAUGGUGAAUAUACCGGUUCUCGUUAGAUCACCGAAGUCAAGCAUCAUUCGGGCCGGUCAGUACUUGGGUGGGUGACCACCUGGGAACACUGCGUGCCGU